CCUACGGGGGGCAGCAGUGAGGAAUAUUGGUCAAUGGACGAGAGUCUGAACCAGCCAAGUAGCGUGAAGGAUGACUGCCCUAUGGGUUGUAAACUUCUUUUAUAUGGGAAUAAAAUGUUCCACGUGUGGGAUUUUGUAUGUACCAUAUGAAUAAGGAUCGGCUAACUCCGUGCCAGCAGCCGCGGUAAUACGGAGGAUCCGAGCGUUAUCCGGAUUUAUUGGGUUUAAAGGGAGCGUAGGGGGAUUGUUAAGUCAGUUGUGAAAGUUUGCGGCUCAACCGUAAAAUUGCAGUUGAAACUGGCAGUCUUGAGUACAGUAGAGGUGGGCGGAAUUCGUGGUGUAGCGGUGAAAUGCUUAGAUAUCACGAAGAACUCCGAUUGCGAUGGCAGUUCACUGGACUGCAACUGACACUGAGGCUCGAAAGUGUGGGUAUCAAACAGGAUUAGAUACCCUUGUAGUC
rnacentral:rRNA from 1 species